CCUACGGGUGGCAGCAGUAGGGAAUAUUGCUCAAUGGGGGAAACCCUGAAGCAGCAACGCCGCGUGGAGGAUGAAGGUUUUCGGAUUGUAAACUCCUUUUGUUAGAGAAGAUAAUGACUGUAUCUAACGAAUAAGCACCGGCUAACUCCGUGCCAGCAGCCGCGGUAAUACGGAGGGUGCAAGCGUUACUCGGAAUCACUGGGCGUAAAGAGCGCGUUGGCGGGAUAGAAAGUCAGAUGUGAAAUCCUAGGGCUUAACCAUAGAAAUGCAUUUGAAACUGUUAUUCUAGAGUAUGGGAGAGGUAGGUGGAAUUCUUGGUGUAGGGGUAAAAUCCGUAGAGAUCAAGAGGAAUACUCAUUGCGAAGGCGACCUGCUAGAACAUAACUGACGCUGAUGCGCGAAAGCGUGGGGAGCAAACAGGAUUAGAUACCCGGGUAGUC
rnacentral:rRNA from 1 species